rnacentral:rRNA from 1 species
UACAGAGGUCCCGAGCGUUGUUCGGAUUCACUGGGCGUAAAGGGUGCGUAGGUGGCGAUGAAAGUUCGAUGUGAAAUCUCCGGGCUUAACCCGGAAAAGGCAUUGAAAACUAUGUUGCUUGAGGUUUGGAGGGGGGACUGGAAUUCUUGGUGUAGCAGUGAAAUGCGUAGAUAUCAAGAGGAACACCAGUGGCGAAGGCGGGUCCCUGGACAACACCUGACGCUGAGACGCGAAAGCGUGGGGAGCGAACGGG